UAGGAAUCCGAAAGUUGAGGAUGCCAGCCAUUCAUUACCAUCCGGAAAGUAAAAAGAGAGUUGAGGAUGCCGACCAUUCAUUCCCAUCCGGCAAGUAAAAGGUUAUUCAUCAAUUCAGGCUAAGGUUCUCAGCAUUAGAUCAAGCAUAGAUCAAUUUCCAAUCUCCAGUUCAGAAGAUUGAAUGGUGAGUCCUCAUUCUCCGAGGAUAACAUUCAUGAGUGUCAU